UGGGGAAUAUUGGACAAUGGGCGAAAGCCUGAUCCAGCAAUGCCGCGUGUGUGAAGAAGGUCUUCGGAUUGUAAAGCACUUUCGACGGGGACGGAUGAUGACGGUACCCGUAGAAGAAGCCCCGGCUAACUUCGUGGCAG
rnacentral:rRNA from 1 species